ensembl:snRNA U2 U2 spliceosomal RNA
ACUGCUUCUUCGGCCCUUUGGCUAAGAUCAAUUGUAGUAUCUGUUCUUAUCAGUUUAAUAUAGUUACUGGUUUGACAAAUGCUUGAAAUGGAGAAAAAAAGCAUUAAUAGAAAUUUUAAGAAUUUGAACCCUGCAAUAACCUUGCAAUGUGAGCAAAUUAUGGCAGUAUUAUGGCAGUAUUAUAUUGUACUAAGAAUAUCCU